ACAAAAGCUCACAGGACAUCUGCAUUGCCAAGGCUUUCAACCAUAUGUGAUUAAUUUGGACCCAGCCAUUCAUGAAGUCCCCUUCCCUGCCAAUACAAAUAUUCAUGACACUGUGAAGUAUAAAGAAGUCAUGAAACAAGGUGAUCUUGGGUUCAGUGGUGACAUAGCAACUUCUCUCAAUCUCUUCGCUACCAGGUUUUAUUAAAAAAAUAAAAUUUAUUCAGAAGUCCCAGAAUGCAUCUUACUUGAUACAUCUGGACAGAUUGAAAAAUUCACCUCCUCAGUUUCUGGGACAAUCAUCACUGAGGCCCUGGCAUCCUCAUUUCCAGCAGUGGUGAUUUAUAUAAUGGACAUCUUAAAAUGUACUAACCCAGUGCCCCUCAUCUCUAAUGCACUCUAUGCCUGUAGCACCUUGUAUAAAACCAA
rnacentral:lncRNA from 1 species